rnacentral:tRNA from 1 species
UCCCUGGUGGCUCAGAUGGCAAAGCAUCUGCCUGCAAUGCGGGAGACCUGGGUUCGAUCCCCAGAUCGGGAA